rnacentral:lncRNA from 1 species
CCCUGCAUUUAAAAAAAAUGUGUUUCCUUCCCUCCCCUUGUGAAGAGUGCUUCAGCUGAUGUCCUCUUUAAAAAAAAAACCUGAACAGCUGACCAGCAGUUUGGACUGUCAAACCUACAAAUAGCUGAUUUCAAGGAAGCACAAACAAUGAGCCAUUAGAACUCUCUGUCAGGCAGGGUUUCAUAGAAUUUCAUUAACUAAAAGAGCAUCUACACAAAGCAAGCUAAUACGAAAUUCUUUUGAAUUUGUACCAGCCCAAAAUCAAAACAGAAGAUGGGCCAUAGUGUGGUGAUUUGGAGAUGAAAAAACAACUUCACAACUUGAUUCAUUUUUGAAUUUCACCUAA